CGUGCACAGUUGGUGGUCUACAGUUGGCACUUCGGGUGCGCCAUGAAGUCCUCACGGCUCCUGCUGCUGCUGCUGAUCAUGGAGCUCUUCACGGCGACGGCGGCGGAACGCGCCCAUACCAGCCUGCACGGAAACUGGCUGCUCCUGAACAUGAGGGCACGCAGGGACAGCGGCCCUACCUGACCGACAACUUCGGAGCGAAACCUCUGCAGCUGACCCCGCGGCGCCCGAGUGGAACCGAUGACGGCCGACAGCCUCGCCUCGCUCCGCCACCGCCGCCGCAGUGACUCCGUUUAUUCACGUGGCUGCAGCAAACGCGGCCGCAGCAAACGCGGACGCUUACACUCAAGACGCGUUCAAUAGCGCCUCCGGCACCUCGCAAUCGUCACACGACUCACAAAUAAUAAUACUACGACGAAUAAUAAUAAAGUCAAAAAAUACCCGGGAAUGAUA